GCCCACUGACCCAACGGCAGAGGUGCGCGGUACCGGCCCGGCUCGCUCGGGAUAUCGGCCGCAGAGUUCCCCGGUUCGAGUCCGGGGGUGGGCACCA
rnacentral:tRNA from 1 species